GCGGCGGACGGGUGAGCUACACGUGGGCAACCUGCCCUGUAGAUUGGGAUAACUCCGGGAAACCUGGGCUAAUACCGAAUAAUCCAUUUCCUCACAUGGGGAGAUGUUAAAAGACGGUUUCGGCUGUCACUACAGGAUGGGCCCGCGGCGCAUUAGCUAGUUGGUGAGGUAACGGCUCACCAAGGCGACGAUGCGUAGCCGACCUGAGAGGGUGAUCGGCCACACUGGGACUGAGACACGGCCCAGACUCCUACGGGAGGCAGCAGUAGGGAAUCUUCCACAAUGGACGAAAGUCUGAUGGAGCAAUGCCGCGUGAGUGAAGAAGGUUUUCGGAUCGUAAAACUCUGUUGUGAGGGAAGAACAAGUACGAGAGUAACUGCUCGUACCUUGACGGUACCUCAUUAGAAAGCCACGGCUAACUACGUGCCAGCAGCCGCGGUAAUAC
rnacentral:rRNA from 1 species